GCAAGGGAUAAUAGACUGCCUUUCCGCAGCAAUACGUGGUCAACUGAACAGCCCGCAACAGAGUGGACUUUCACAGAAGAUUUGGGUGUUUUGAACGCAGGGUCUUCUCUGGUUGGUUGUGAAGAUCUAAGUAAACAAAGCUGUUACUGUGGCAUAAUUGACCUUUGGAUCUGAAAAGUGGCGGCAGAGUCUUACUGAAAUAAGAAGCCUCCGGAACCAUCCAAAAUAUCCUAUAUACAGAGGGGAGUUCAAAUUACACCUUGAAUGCUGAUUUAUUAGAGUGAAAAGAUCCAAAGACUGACAGACUGAAAACAUUGCUCAGCAGUUCAAAAAGGGAGUAGUCAAGAAGUCAAAGACCAUGAGUUACAGCUGUGGCAAGCGACGCUAUAAACCUAAAACACGGACCACGUAAAAUGGGGACUAUGUUUGGCAUUAUGGUCCCUGAACAGCUGUGACUGCCCUCAAAAAACAUUUUUGCCCGAACCUGUGUCUUUGUAAUCCUAUUGGCCAUCCAUCUCCUGUGAUCAUUUUUUCUUAUUUUGAGCCCUAACCUCUUUCGUUUCCCACCUUGAUCAAAACAAAUCCAGUUUUUACUCCAAAAUGGCCUGCAGUUUCAGCAUAACUUGUGCUUUUCCACCCUCCUUUCUCAUCCUCUCUCUUCCUAUUUUUCUCCUUCUCCAUGUACCUUCUUUUGUGAGGGGUGACUGCUGGCUAAUUGAGGGGGA